AAGUCGUAACAAGGUAUCCGUAGGUGAACCUGCGGAUGGAUCAUUAACACAUCCUAAACCGGUUCUUCCUUUCUCUCUCUCUCUCUUUUGAGAGUGUGAAGGGUUGGACUUCAAACCCAAACUAUGCGAACUCGUCAACGUGGGGAGGGAUUCAUUCCUUCUUCUCGUUCGUUUUUUCUUCUCUAUCUCACUUUUUACUUUUUACUUUCAACACAUUUCCUUCAUUGGAAUGGCGAAUAACAAAAGACAUGUUGAAACCUUUUGGGGAUUGGCAUGUCAUAAAAAACAAAAACAAAAAAUACAACUCUUAACAACGGAUAUCUUGGCUCUC
rnacentral:misc_RNA from 1 species